rnacentral:lncRNA from 1 species
CAUGGCGUCGAUCCUCUAGGAGAAAAAAAAAAGUACAGAAAUCUCGUGCCACCAAUCCUAAAUAGAAUAAAAUAUCAAAAGUUGACAAGAGCCUGACAGAAUGCUUCUUUUGUAAGAAGCUGGAUCAUUGGAAGAGAAAUUAUCCUACUUAUAUAGCCAUCCUUGACCCAAACAGGCCUAAGAUCAAGAAAAAGAAGCAAAU